rnacentral:rRNA from 1 species
UGAGUAAUACAUCGGAACGUGUCCAGUCGUGGGGGAUAACCAGUCGAAAGACUGGCUAAGUACCGCAUGCGCCCGAAAGGGGAAAGCGGGGGACCUGUGAGGGCCUCGCGCGAUUGGAGCGGCCGAUGUCCGAUUAGCUAGUUGGUGAGGUAACGGCUCACCAAGGCGACGAUCGGUAGCUGGUCUGAGAGGACGACCAGCCACACUGGGACUGAGACACGGACCAGACUCCUACGGGAGGCAGCAGUGGGGAAUUUUGGACAAUGGGGGCAACCCUGAUCCAGCCAUGCCGCGUGUGUGAUGAAGGCCUUCGGGUUGUAAAGCACUUUCGGACGGAACGAAAUCGCGCGGGCGAAUAUCCCGCGUGGAUGACGGUACCGUAAGAAGAAGCACCGGCUAACUACGUGCCAGCAGCCAGCGGUAAUACGUAGGGUGCGAGACGUUAAUCGGAAUUACUGGGCGUAAAGGGUGCGCAGGCGGCUUCGCAAGUCAGGCGUGAAAUCCCCGAGCUUACCUUGGGAAUUGCGUAUUGAAACUACGAGGCUGGAGUGUGGCAAGAG